rnacentral:lncRNA from 1 species
UAAAAAAACAGAAGGCUUUAAAGAAAGUGUUAUCAUAAUAUUCAUUUAUUAAGUAAGAUUUUAGUUCUUUCAAUUUUUUAAAUAAUUACUUAUAUACUAAUCAUUAUUUUGUCAGUAUUUAGCUUUUUAUUUGUUUUUCAAUUAAUGAAAGUGUUACAAAUUUCAGCACACUUGAAUUAAUACUUUAUCUUUUAUUGUAAAAAAAAAAAAAAAAAAACACAUAAUCAGUAAUUUCUAUUGUUUAAAUAAAAUGAAACUCAUUUUACUUUUUUGUGUAAUAUUUUACUUAUAUGCUUUUAAUGGAGUGUUACUCCGAGCAGAAGUAUCUAAUAAUGAAUCAGAUGAUAUUUUUCAAACAGUUAUAGAAUCAGCUAUUUUUGCGUUAUAUAAAGCAGCUGAUGCAGUAGAUAAAGCAAUCAAUUUGAAAUAUAAGGAAAGUUUAGAAACAGAGGGAAGCGAAACUCUUAGUGCUGUAUCUAUUGCAAAUGAGAUUAUAGAAUUAAAAAAUGUAGUGUAUACAACACUUAAGAACAUUCAGGAUCUUGAAAAUAUAGCAAAAAUAGGAGCUGGUAUUACAGAAAAACCAAAAGAAAAUAAUAAUGAAAACGAUAUAAUCAAGGAUGAUAAUACAGAACAACAGCAUCUUAGAGGACUUGAACAAGAUGAUGAUAAACAUAAGAAACAUACUAGUUCUAAAAAAUCGGCUAUAUCUAUACAAAUUGAAAAGGCAGAACAAGAAGCUAAAAAGGUAAUUGAAACAGCCAAAAACAUAGAGGAUGAAUUAGAUAAUGCACAUGAAGGAGAGAUGUAUGGUGACGCUGUUAAAGCAACAGAAGCAGCUAUUAGAGGUGACGCAUACUUAAAGAAAAUGAAUGAACACUUAAAAAAAGCAUUAUAUCAUGUAAAACUCGCUGAAACAUAUAGCGAUUUAGUAGAUGAAGCACAUAAACAAGCAAAUGAAACUUUAACAUUUGCUAAUUUUACAAAAACAAUUGCUGUAAAUCUUGAAAGUGUGAUAGAAGGCAAAAUUGAUGACGCUAUUGAUUUAGUAAAAGAGUUUACUGAGAUUGCAAAAAAUGCCGCAAAUGAUAGCCAACUAGCUGCAGAAGCUGCUAAAGUUGCAUACAACGUUGAUGAUAUAUUUAUAUAUACACACAGUUCUAUACACGCAGCUAAUAAAGCUAUUACUGCUUAUACUAAAGUAGGCCAUAUUGCAAAAGCAGCUAUAAAACUAGUUAAAUUAUCUGUAAGUAAAGAAAUGGUUGAAAAAAUGAAAGAAUUAAUGGAAUUUGUAGUUACAGCUAAAGCAUAUAGAGAUGUGGCUAAAAAUUUUGCUAAACAUGCAAUACAAAUUGCAGAAACACAUAAAAUAAAACCGGACGUAGUUCUUAUAGAGAGCAGCGACAAUAAACAUAAUAUACAAAAAAAAAAAGAUGGUAAAAAUUCAGUACAUACCAAUAAUAGAAUGUUAGCGGAAAAAGAAGUUGAAGAAGAAGUUAAAGAAGAAGUUAAAGAAGAAGUUAAAGAAGAAGUUGAAGAAGCAGUUGAAGAAGAAGUUAAAGAAGAAGUUAAAGAAGUAGUUGAAGAAGAAGUUAAAGAAGCAGUUGAAGAAGAAGUUAAAGAAGUAGUUAAAGAAGAAGUUAAAGAAGCAGUUGAAGAAGAAGUUAAAGAAGAAGUUAAAGAAGAAGUUGAAGAAGAAGUUGAAGAAGCAGUUGAAGAAGCAGUUGAAGAAGAAGUUAAAG